rnacentral:tRNA from 1 species
GGCUGUGUAGCUCAGUGGUAGAGCAAACGUUUCAUAAGCGUUGGGUCAGAGGUCCAAUUCCUCUCACAGCCA